rnacentral:lncRNA from 1 species
CGGCAAGAGCAGCAGCAGCCUGAAUCAGCUGCACCAACACCACUACCUUCAGCAGCAGUAACAGGCGCAGCAUCAGCAGCAACAGCAGCAGCAGCAGCCGCAAACACAGCAGCAGCAGCGCUACCAUAUAUCCGAGCUUAACCACGUUUUCACAACCUUGUAUUUACUUUGCCUCCUGAAUAAUCGUGUGGUGCAGCAGCUGAUAUUUAAUUUGUUUGUGUGUGCAACUCGAACCUGCCAUCCGCCGAAUUGCCGCUUUUUUUUCCUCUCUCUGUCUAUCCGUCAGUUUUUCCUCUCUCUUUCUCUCACUCACUCACUCUCACUUUCACACACUCUCUCUCUCUCUAUAUAUAUAUAUAUAUAUAUAUACAAACAUAUAUAUAUAUCUACAAACAUGUAUGGGUAAUAUAGAUAUGUAUGUAUAUAUAGUAUGAUAUAUACAUAUAUCUACAUAUAUAUAUAAGUUUAUUUAUACAUAUCUAGUUACUUCUGCUUUGAUCAGCUCUGAUCAGUUUGUGUCCGGUAUCGUGUAACAACGGAAAGCAUGCCGUGAACAGCAACAACAACAACAACAACUAUAUCAAGAUGGCUAACCUAUAAAUACAAACACACAUGCAUAAAUAGCUGUAUACAUCCAUAAAUACAUAUAUACUUGUUCACAAAUACACAUACACACACUCACACACACACGUGUGCAUACAUACAAAUUCAUUCAUACAUAGACAUACGUUCUCGCAUACAUAUAUAGACACAUAUAUAGACACAUAUAUACAUACAUACAUACACAAACACAAACAGACACACAUAUAUAUAGAUAUAUAUAUAUAUAUAUAUAUUAUAUAGAUAUAUAUAUAUACAUACAUACACACAUCAGUACACGUAUACACACACACACAUAUAUAUAUGCAUAUAUAUACAAGCGCAUACAUCAUGUAAAAAUUCACAUGUAUAUAUAUAAAUAAUCACACAUACCCAUACUCACGCACUCUCAGCUACAGCCACACCCAGCCAGAGCACACACAAACGCAUACUCCUUGGUAUGCAUACCUUUAUAUACACAAACAAACGAAAGGAGAAUAUAUAUAAUUAAAAAGAAGAAACGAAAAUUAAAACAACUGGAAAAUCCCGCAAAGGAAAAAAAAAAAAAAGGGGCUGAAUACGAGGCAAAAAAAAAACACACACAAAAGCAAAAAAAAAAACAAAAAAAUGAGAGAGGGAAAAUGAUAAAUGUAUUGCAAUUAAUACUGGCGAUGGUAACAUUCUUGAUGAGGAAUAUGACGAUGAUGAUGAUGAUGAUCAUGAUGAAUACAAUGAUGAUAAUGAUGAUGAUGAUGACAACGACGACGAUGAUGAUGAUGGCAUAUACUACGGGAGAUGCGACGUACAGUGACCCGCCAAAAUGAUGGAAUAUAACAUUACCGAGUAUUAUAACAACCACGAUACCAAUAAUAAUAAUAAUAAUAAUAAUAAUAAUAAUCUGUUUUAUCAUCAUAUAUCAAUGAUUAUUGAAAAGGUAAAUAAAAAAAUAAAAUUUUAAAAAUAAAAAUAAAAAAAAAAACAAGGAAGAAAUCAACCUUUGUCACAGCCAUCACAAACACGAUGAUAAAAAAAUAAUUAAUUAAUUAAUUAAUUAAUAAAUAUUAAUAAUAAAAAAAAAAAUAUUAUAAUAAUUAUCAAUAAUAGUAAUAAUAAUAAUAAUAAAAAUAAUAAUAAUAAUCGUGUUCCUUUUUUGCUGGAUGAAGAUUUUUUCCUACGUUCUCAUUCGGAAAGGAUUUAACCAUUUUUCUGUGAGCUUUUAAUUAAAAAAAAGGAACUUAUUCUGGCCUAUGUUGACAUCUAUUGCAAGGAGCUGGUUGGUUUUAUACGUACCCACAUGUAUAUAUAUAUAUACACUUACUAGUAUACAUACAUAUAUAUAUAUACUACAAUAAAGGUAAGAAGAUUUUAAUUUUUUUUCCAUGUACAUACACAUCCAAC